rnacentral:rRNA from 1 species
CCUGAAAGAGGGGGGUGCCCGCAAGGGAGCGUGGAGACAGGUGGUGCAUGGCUGUCGUCAGCUCGUGUCGUGAGAUGUUGGGUUAAGUCCCGCAACGAGCGCAACCCUCACCCCUAGUUGCCACCGGGUAAAGCCGAGCACUCGAGGGGAACUGCCAGCGUCAAGCUGGAGGAAGGCGGGGAUGACGUCAAGUCAUCAUGCCCCUUACGCCCUGGGCUACACACGUGCUACAAUGGCCAGUACAAAGGGAUGCGAGACUGCGAAGUGGAGCUAAUCCCGAAAAGCUGGUCUAAGUUCAGAUUGCAGUCUGCAACUCGACUGCAUGAAGGAGGAGUCGCUAGUAAUCGCGCAUCAGCACGGCGCGGUGAAUACGUUCCCGGGCCUUGUACACACCGCCCGUCACACCACGAAAGCUGU